rnacentral:rRNA from 1 species
AAUAUUGCACAAUGGGCGCAAGCCUGAUGCAGCCAUGCCGCGUGUAUGAAGAAGGCCUUCGGGUUGUAAAGUACUUUCAGCAGUGAGGAAGGUGGGUAUGUUAAUAGCAUAUUCAUUUGACGUUAGCUGCAGAAGAAGCACCGGCUAACUCCGUGCCAGCAGCCGCGGUAAUACGGAGGGUGCGAGCGUUAAUCGGAAUUACUGGGCGUAAAGCGCAUGCAGGUGGUUUGUUAAGUCAGAUGUGAAAAGCCCCGGGGCUCAACCUCGGAAUUGCAUUUGAAAACUGGCAAACUAGAGUACUGUAGAGGGGGGUAGAAUUUCAGGUGUAGCGGUGAAAUGCGUAGAGAUCUGAAGGAAUACCGGUGGCGAAGGCGGCCCCCUGGACAGAUACUGACACUCAGAUGCGAAAGCGUGGGGAGCAAACAGGAUUAGAUACCCUGGUAG